GAUCUAGCCAUGGGCAGGUUGAAGGUUGGGUAACACUAACUGGAGGACCGAACCGACUAAUGUUGAAAAAUUAGCGGAUGACUUGUGGCUGGGGGUGAAAGGCCAAUCAAACCGGGAGAUAGCUGGUUCUCCCCGAAAGCUAUUUAGGUAGCGCCUCGUGAAUUCAUCUCCGGGGGUAGAGCACUGUUUCGGCAAGGGGGUCAUCCCGACUUACCAACCCGAUGCAAACUGCGAAUACCGGAGAAUGUUAUCACGGGAGACACACGGCGGGUGCUAACGUCCGUCGUGAAGAGGGAAACAACCCAGACCGCCAGCUAAGGUCCCAAAGUCAUGGUUAAGUGGGAAACGAUGUGGGAAGGCCCAGACAGCCAGGAUGUUGGCUUAGAAGCAGCCAUCAUUUAAAGAAAGCGUAAUAGCUCACUGGUCGAGUCGGCCUGCGCGGAAGAUGUAACGGGGCUAAACCAUGCACCGAAGCUGCGGCAGCGACGCUUAUGCGUUGUUGGGUAGGGGAGCGUUCUGUAAGCCUUUGAAGGUGUACUGUGAGGUAUGCUGGAGGUAUCAGAAGUGCGAAUGCUGACAUAAGUAACGAUAAAGCGGGUGAAAAGCCCGCUCGCCGGAAGACCAAGGGUUCCUGUCCAACGUUAAUCGGGGCAGGGUGAGUCGACCCCUAAGGCGAGGCCGAAAGGCGUAGUCGAUGGGAAACAGGUUAAUAUUCCUGUACUUGGUGUUACUGCGAAGGGGGGACGGAGAAGGCUAUGUUGGCCGGGCGACGGUUGUCCCGGUUUAAGCGUGUAGGCUGGUUUUCCAGGCAAAUCCGGAAAAUCAAGGCUGAGGCGUGAUGACGAGGCACUACGGUGCUGAAGCAACAAAUGCCCUGCUUCCAGGAAAAGCCUCUAAGCAUCAGGUAACAUCAAAUCGUACCCCAAACCGACACAGGUGGUCAGGUAGAGAAUACCAAGGCGCUUGAGAGAACUCGGGUGAAGGAACUAGGCAAAAUGGUGCCGUAACUUCGGGAGAAGG
rnacentral:rRNA from 1 species